CUCUUCUCAGGGUCGCACCUGGAGAGUUCCCAGUGCUCUACCAGUCACUACUACAGGAGGGAGAGUCAAGCAGAGGCAUACUCAUUGCAUUUCUGGCUUGGGCAGUGGCUAGUGAGUGGAAGGCAAUCUGCUACAGUC